AGGAGAGAGGCCAGGUGGAAAGCUCCCUAAGCCACCUGAAAUAUCCACAGCUAGAAUAAAACAAGGCAGCCUUUUCCCAAUACACAGAAAAAUGCUGGCUCUAGAAUUCGGCCAGCUCCAUUUUCAGUGUCUUUUACACCAACAUUUUAACUUUACCUUCAGUGCCUUUUACUGCUUAGUGGCAAAUGUUCCUAGAUGACCAUGGGAAUCAAUGAGCAGAAAGCACUGUAUUGAUGACUGGAAAUCCUUACUGAGAGACACACUCAUCUUCACUGGAGAGCUUGUGUAUGUAUAUGCAUGUGUAUGAGUGUGUGUGUGUGUGUGUGUGUGCAUGCAGGUGUGCUGGGUGGAGGGUGGGGGGCACUUGUUGUGAUUUCAUAUUGUGCCAAUAAAAGCAGAUUUUACGCUGGUGAGAGUGAUCUCAGUUCAUGGGGUGGACGUAUGUGUAAUGGACGGUGGUCCCCCUGCGGCCCUCUGAUUGUGCAGUGAUAUCUGGGAAGUCUGAGAACCGCAUCAGUGUGGGGUGGACUGGAUAGGACGAGAGGCUGGGGACGGUGGGAAGGUGCAAGAGGAAGAAGCAGUGGAAAGGAGCUGCCAGGUGUUGGAGACAGUGUGAGGGAAGUGAGGAAGCGGCCCCAAUAGAGGGCCCAAAGCAAGGGUCCCUAGAGUGCUGGAGUGGGGAAAAGGAAGGGCAUUCAGUUGUAGAUAUCAU
rnacentral:lncRNA from 1 species